rnacentral:misc_RNA from 1 species
UAUGUAUGUUACAUCAGAACUUUUGAGCGGGAAGACCGAUUUCGACAAAUUUUGUUUUAUUCGAAAGGUGGUGUGUGCCAAUUGGUCCCAUUUUAAUUUAUUUGAGAUCUAACAACUACUUUUCGAGUUAUAUCUAAUAAUGCGUUGUUACUUGACGCUUUUUUCGUCGACCUACGUUGUAUUAUACCGCAUAACUUUCUACUGGAUGUACCGAUUUUGAUAAUUCUUUUUUUGUUGGAAAGGGGAUAUCCCUAGUUUGAUACUAUGAUAAGAAAACCAGUAUCUGAUGAUGGAAUCCUAGAGAAAUCGAGGGAAACUCGUAAAUCCGCAAUAACUUUUUACUGGGUGUACCGAUUUUGAUAAUUCUUUUUUUGUUGGAAAGAAGAUAUCCCUAGUUUAGUACCAUGAUAAGGAAACCAGGAUCUAAUGAUGGGAU